AUUGAACGCUGGCGGCGUGCCUAACACAUGCAAGUCGAGCGGCAGCGCGGGAGCAAUCCUGGCGGCGAGCGGCGAACGGGUGAGUAAUGCUUCGGAAUCUGCCCAUGUAGUGGGGAAUAACCAGCCGAAAGGUUGGCUAAUACCGCAUACGACCUACGGGUGAAAGCAGGGGAUCGCAAGACCUUGCGCUAUUGGAUGAGCCGAAGUCGGAUUAGCUAGUGGUAGGGUAACGGCCUACCAAGGCGACGAUCCGUAGCUGGUCUGAGAGGACGACCAGCCACACUGGGACUGAGACACGGCCCAGACUCCUACGGGAGGCAGCAGUGGGGAAUAUUGGACAAUGGGGGAAACCCUGAUCCAGCGACGCCGCGUGGGUGAAGAAGGCCUGCGGGUUGUAAAGCCCUUUCAGUGGGGAAGAAAAGCCUCGACCUAACACGUCGGGGUCUUGACGUAACCCAUAGAAGAAGCACCGGCUAACUCUGUGCCAG
rnacentral:rRNA from 1 species